rnacentral:lncRNA from 1 species
ACAUGUGCGAAUCCUGAGAGGCAGUUCUGAAUUUACAUUUCAUAAAUCAACAACAAUCCUUAAGAUUUUCAGGUCUGAAUUUAGAUUCCAUAAAACAACAACAAUCCCUAAAAUGUUCCUCAAAUUAAUGCGUCAGCUCUUAAAGGGUUAAUACCUCCAUUGCUACUAACACUUUAGUUUAUAUUUCUAAUUGGUAUUAAUAUUUUAAUUUUUUAAUAUCAAAGUUUGGAUUUUAGUAACAAACGAUAUUCAAUUUUUU